ACGAAGCUCGUAGGAUUUGAGGGAUUGCGAAUCCAGAGAAGGGGAAAAAAGCUGGUGAAGGGUCUGCAGUACGAGGUUUCCCUUGUCCAAAGUUCACACUGAACUCUGUUACACAAUUACAUGCAGAGCUGCUGGCAGCCCCUGGAAGUAGCAUUGCUCUGCAGCAAGCAAAGCCAAGAAAGGUGGAUUUGAGGAACCAGCCCUCCUGAAGAGCCAGGGAGACUUGAGGCCUACAGGUGCAGAGAGAAGCAUCACUGAGCUACCACCAACCUUUGGGUGCUGCAUUGAGAACCUCAAGUAGGUGCCUGGGGUGGUCACAAAGCCCUAGAAAGGGCAUCUGCGAGACAGCCACCCCAGGCUGCAGCAGAGCAGCAGCCCUGGCCAGAAGCCUCUGAGCAGGGGGCUGUACCAGGAGCCCCAGUGCUGGGAGAGAGGGCUCCUCACAGGGCUGCAGAGGAGGUGUUCUGUGCUGCCAGGACAGCUCCUGCGAUGAAGGGGUUGGGCUGCGUGUCUAGGGAAGAGGCUCAGGCAGAAAGCCUUUCAGGCAGUAUCUUCCCCACCAAACAUGACAGUGGGUGUCACCCAAGAGAUCCUGUAGCACCCCUGGAGAAGGCAAAGAAGAGCUGUGAAGAUCAACCCACUUUCAGUGAAACUGCACUAAUGUUACUGUGCUUCCCUGUAAAUUCCACUUUGGCUUGUGUUUCAAAUGUUUGCUAUUACUUCUUACAUGUUUUUGGAAAACAUAUUUUGGCAAAUUUAUUUCUAGUUCUACAAAGCUAGAAUGCCUAAUGCCUGUUACAAAAAGUUGCAGAGGUCUCAUUUUAACCUCUCACCGGGAUUUUGUCAUUUUUACUAAAACUCCUUAAUGCAUUAUGAUGAAGACUCCUAAAGCAUUUUACAGUGCUAAAAUCACAAAUUAAGAAACUGCAGUGUGGAAAAUCAGCUUGCUAUUUUGAAAUAAGCACUAAAGCCAGAAGGGAUAAGCAUAUUCAUGAAACCCACAUGGUGUUCACAAAAGUACACGUAUAUAUAUAUGCCUGUGUGGGAUGAGGAAUCUUUUCUGUUCAAUUCUAGCAUCAGUGCUUAUGUGUGUCACAAAACUCAUUAAAAUUAAAAAAGCAAGCAAAGUGUUUGUCCAUUUUUAAUGAGGAAGGAAGAUCUGCAACUCAAUGUUUUGUUACAACCACAGUGCCUUUAAACUUUUGAUCUUCCCCACAUUCUUCCACCCAGAAGGGUUAGGGAUCUUGUCUGCUAUCUCUUCUCACAGCUGGGGCAGCUGUCAGCAGCAUGGAUGGCAACACCCACUACACAGGAGGUGGUUCUUCAAGGCAGCAGGAGAGCUCUGGGGAGCCCUGUGUGCAGGAGCAGGCAUUAUCCCAGGCCUAACUUACUACCAGGAACCUGCACACGUAGUUCAGGUUCAGCUGACAGAAGCCCACACCUCAGCACUGUCUGGUAGGUCUGUUACAAACAGAUAAAACAUUCUCACAUGGAAGGUUAUCUAAGCAAGUACAGAGGCUUGGGAUCUUCACAUCUGGAAGAUGCACAUCUCAGUAUCAACCAUGUUUUGCUUAGCAAAACCUGCCUGCUACUGAAUCCCAGGAUCAUACUGUGACAGCAACUGGAGACCCCAGCAAUCCAGCAUUCCCUUGCAUUACGCCUUGCAGGAGACAAUUGUGUCCCAGGCACAAUUUCUGGUCCCCUGCUGACAUCAGAUUGCCUGAGUAGCAAAAACCUGAUCAGCAGGAGACUAAAACCAGUUUCUCCCUAGAAAGCUUAAAACCCCACUGUCCUAAAGGCAGGUAUUCACCAGCUAGUACAGAGAUUCAACAGCCAGCUGUCUUUACACACAGCAGGCAGGCAGAGGAAGCUGUGUAAAACACAACAUUCCCCAGUGCUUUGUAGUUUUUCCAUUUAAGCAAAGUUGAUUUAGGUUGUACUAGCACCUGUGGACUAGUGCAUGUUAUACACCACAGAAAAAGAGAAUAUUCCUUGUCUUUUAUGGGGUCUGAAUACAUGCCACAGUCCUGUCCUGUCCUCUUAGGAAACUCCUUUUGCCUUCUUAAGUCUCUGCUCCCUCCAAUCCCUUGUGCAUUUAAUCUAUUGGGGCUUGUCUGUUUGGGUUUUUUAAAAGAAACACUGAAGAGAUUAUAUCCUUAAUUUUUGCAACCAGUUUUUAAUAGAAACAUAUAAUACACCUUUUCACAUAAAUAUUUUAUAUAGACACAUACUAUAUAGAUUCACAAUACUCAAAGCUAUGUAAUGUUUCAAAGCUCCAGUUCUGUUUAAGAGACUGAGAAAAAAAAAAACCUAAACAAAUCAUCACACAGGAAGAGUGGAAACAAAGUUUUUAAAGCAUGAAUAAUCAGAUUAUUUCUCUUGUGUCCUUACAACUCACUUAAACACUGCCUGCCUCAACAUGCCAGCCAGCUGUGUCCUUAGCCCUAGCUGCAGGGGCAAGCAGAGACAGUGCACGACCACUAACAGUGCAUUGCCAGCAAGAGAGGUCAGUCCAAGAGGGAUCCCAGUGCCAUCCUGAAGUGUACAGAGGGAGCAUACCACUCUCUCCGGAAUCCAAGCCAAGAUGGCUUUGGAAAUGAUUAUCUGACAAGAUUGUUAGUGUUGAAUUGCUGGCAUGAUGGUGGUAGGUGAUUAAUCACCUCUGUCCAGAUCUUUUAUUUGAUUUACUUUACCUUUAGGUUGUACAGUGACAAUUUGUUACUAAGUAAAAGCAUUGAACCUCAAUGAGAAUACAUCUAAACUUUAAGUCCACGCACUUGAUUGUCGUGACUUGCUGUAGCUAUCAUGGAGCAACUUCACUAAAUCACUUCAGAAACAGAAUGUUUUUGAAGAGGGGAAGAGGGUGAAGAACAGUAAGGAUCAGAGCCAAGAAAUAGUCUUAUGCCUGACCAUGUGAUAAAGCUUUCAGAACAGAGUGAAGCAGAACUUCAGGCUUUCCCUUUCCCCAUAUAUGACACCUGACAGAAGAAAUAACAAAGAGAAACAAACAAGCUUGCAUCACAGAAUUCAUUCUCCCCAGCUCACAAGUACAUAAGCUUUUGGAUUUGCAGCACCAAUGGUAGAUGAAACACAGUGCAGUUUAGAUUCUCUAUUUCUUAAACCCAGAGGAGCCCAAGUUAAUCCACAAGCCAAAAACCAUAUAGUUUUUCACUCUACUCCAAAGCACCAAAGCAGAAUGGAAAAACUUUCCCAAAGUAAAAGCCAACACUGCUUUAGGCCCAAUUCCAGAUUUAAAACAAACAAACAACCCCACAGAGGACCUUAAAACUUUAGCACAUGGAAAUAAACUCUCUACUUCUUCGUUUGUUACUUGACCAUGCAGGAGUACAGGGACAUAAAAGCAGCCAAAGUGCUCCUGAAAUUCAGGUUUCUGAGGAGGACCUUAUUUAAUUCCAUAUUACCUUGCAUUCUUUGCUUGCCUGCCUCAUUUUUAAGAGCUUAAGUUUCUGUCUGCACAGGUUGCACAUUGCUUUGCCAUUGCUAAACCAGGAAUGAAAUAUGUGUGAAGCACCUUGCAGGUGACCCCACACACUGCCCUUGGCUACCACAGCCCAUGACGUUCAACAGAUCCAACUCACAUGCCAGAUUUAUAAAGCACCAAAUAAAUCCAGGCUCCCAGAACAAUUCCAGUUUGAUCCCACACAUGGGGGAUAAAGGACAAAUGAGGUAACUCAUCUGACUGCCACCUUAUUCUGCCAGGUCACCAAUCCUAGACUUGGCUCUCCAGCUGUGUGUCAGUAGUGCUCAGGACAGCAAACAAGCAGGAUGUGCAGUUACCACGGUUUCAUGCACUCUCAAGAAAGGAACAGGCGUUCACAUUUAGGAUUUAGCAAAUAACAUGCCACACGCCUGAUUUGAGGCAGUGCUCUGUUGCUAACACGUAGAUGUGCACACAGAACCCUCCACCACCAUUCUUGGAGACUCCUGCACUGCAGAGCUCCUGCCUCCCCUCAUAGAAAGGGCUGAGUCUGAAAACAGGCAGCACUUUCCAAGCCUCCAUGCUGUCCUCUUAUGCUUCCCUCAACUUAUACAUCAGUCAUCCAGCAUUCUUGGAGUUGAAAUCUGGUAAAGAACACCUUUAACAACCCAUAUCCCCUCUGUUCUUGCACUCAGGAAGUUGCCUGGGCAGGCAGUGAUUGUCCAAAAUACACUCUAAAAUUUAUGAACAACAGGUAGGUAGCACUGGUUGUUCAUACAGCUACAUUGUCGUAUCUUCAUGUUCACAGACAGAUGCUCUGGUUCUGAAGUGAAUUGCAAUAUCCCUAGAUAUUUAAGAAAAUAAAAGCCAAAGCUAAGUCUUCUGCAAGGCACACUACAGAACAGGAAGCAAACUUCCACACCAGCUUCAUGGCUAUGCUAACAGAGCUGCAAGGGACCCAACCCAUCACAGAGGCACAAGUGAAGGGGGGAUCAGGCUGUACUUGGCACACACUGUGAGGUCUGAGUAACACAGCAGGAAAGAGUAAGAAGGCACAGAGGAUGAAAAUAGUAUUUAAACUCAGGCAUACUCGAACAUCGACUACCUGAUAAGAGAAAAAGAUCAGCCAGGAAAAUAGGAAGGGUCUGUGUAGAGUCCUAAGGGAAUUAAAAGUCACUACCAUGCACCCACAGGGUUCAAACUUUGGAGAAAGCUUACAGAAAUAGCAACCUUUUCUUUCCAAACCAAAACAUACUGCACAUGCAAUUGGUGAUGUUUUAGGGGAAAUCUGAAGUGCCAGUAUCUACAUCUGUUUCCAUUAUACAUUUAUGCAUCAUAAGCCACGGCCCUAAAAGCUACAUCUAAGGACCAGUUCAUAAUGAGGGCGUUGAUCAGGGAUUAACAAAUAAAAAAUAGGAAGCAAAUAAGUCUCUAUGACAACUGCAUAAAAAAAACCCAACAAAACCCACUUGAGUGUUUCUGCUGCAGUUAGACCAGCAGCUUUUUUUUUUUUUUUUUUUUU